rnacentral:rRNA from 1 species
GAUGAACGCUGGCGGCGUGCUUAACACAUGCAAGUCGAACGGAAAGGCCCUGCUUGCAGGGUACUCGGGUGGCGAACGGGUGAGUAACACGUGGGGGAUGGGGCCUGUACGUUGGGAUAAGCCUGGAAAACUGGGUCGAAUACCGAAUAUGACAAUUGUUUGGAUGCGAUUGUGGAAAGCUUUUGCGGUAUGGGAUGAGCUCGCGGCCUAUCAGCUUGUUGGUGGGGUAAUGGCGUACCAAGGCGUCGACGGGUAGCCGUCCUGAUGGGGUGUACUGCCACACUAGAACUGAGCUACGGCACAGACUCCUACGGGAGGCAGCAGUGGAGAAUAUUGCACAAUGCGAGCAAGCCUGAUGCAGCGACGCCGCGUGGGGGAUGACGGCCUUCGGGUUGUAAACUCCUCUCCCAACCCACGAAGCCUUUUGGUGACGGUAGGUGGAGAAGAAGCACCGGCUAACUACGUG